rnacentral:rRNA from 1 species
CCCUUAGAUGUCCUGGGCCGCACGCGCGCUACACUGAUGCAUUCAACGAGUUUUACCUUGGCCGAGAGGCCUGGGCAAUCUUUUAAACCUGCAUCGUGAUAGGGAUGGAUUAUUGCAAUUAUUAAUCUUGAACGAGGAAUUCCUAGUAAACGCAGAUCAUCAAUCUGCAUUGAUUACGUCCCUGCCCUUUGUACACACCGCCCGUCGCACCUACCGAUUGAAUGGUCCGGUGAAGCCUCGGGAUUGUGGCCAGUUCACUUUAUUGGGAGUUGGCUGCGAGAACUUGUCUAAACCUUAUCAUUUAGAGGAAGGUGAAGUCGUAACA